rnacentral:sRNA from 1 species
UAGCGGAUUCGGCGUGUGCUACGCUCGU